rnacentral:rRNA from 1 species
UGCGUAGGCGAAAGAUUAAGUCAGUGGUGAAAUCCUGCAGCUCAACUGUAGAACUGUCAUUGAUACUGAUCUUCUUGAAUACAGUUGAGGUAGGCGGAAUAUGUAAUGUAGCGGUGAAAUGCUUAGAUAUUACAUAGAACACCGAUUGCGAAGGCAGCUUACUAAACUGUGAUUGACGCUGAGGCACGAAAGCGUGGGGAGCGAACAGGAUUAGAUACCCUGGUAGUCC